rnacentral:tRNA from 1 species
UCCCUGCUAGCUCAGAUGGUAGAGAAUCCACUUGCAGUGCGGGAGACUUGGGUUCAAUCCCCAGGUUGGGAA